UACAGAGGGUGCAAGCGUUGUUCGGAAUUACUGGGCGUAAAGCGCGUGUAGGCGGCUUUAUAAGUCGGACGUGAAAUCCCUUGGCUUAACCGAGGAACUGCGUCUGAUACUGUAAGGCUUGAGUCUCGGAGGGGGUGGCGGAAUUCCCGGUGUAGAGGUGAAAUUCGUAGAUAUCGGGAGGAACACCUGUGGCGAAGGCGGCCACCUGGAAGACGACUGACGCUGAGACGCGAAAGCGUGGGUAGCAAACAGG
rnacentral:rRNA from 1 species